rnacentral:rRNA from 1 species
ACGGGUGAGUAACGCGUGGGUAACCUGCCUUAUACAGGGGGAGUAACAGUUAGAAAUGACUGCUAAUACCGCAUAAGCGCACAGGAUUGCAUGAUCUGGUGUGAAAAACUCCGGUGGUAUAAGAUGGACCCGCGUCUGAUUAGCUGGUUGGUGAGGUAACGGCCCACCAAGGCGACGAUCAGUAGCCGACCUGAGAGGGUGACCGGCCACAUUGGGACUGAGACACGGCCCAAACUCCUACGGGAGGCAGCAUG